AAGUUCGUUGCUUGUUAUUUAAAAAUAAGAUCUCUUGGCUUUACUCUCAUUAUAUUGGUCCAAUUGACCAUGGUCGAGAGCAUAUUCAUCCUAAAAGUUAAGUCAUUGGAGUAAUCUCACGACUUAUCACAGUUUGAGUAUUUCCCAUAUAGCCAAGUCGAAUGAAUAUAUGAUGACACGACCCGUCCCAAAUCACCCUAUGAACCCAAAACGCGACGUGCGCCGAUAGUAAAUACUGACUAGAUGCCAGAUCCACCACUAAGGUUGACUAUGAGUUAUUACAAAAUAUGAGACAAAAUCAAAUGUUUAAAUAAAUAAAUAUUGCAAUGGGCUCACAGUAAUUACUUCAUGUUUUAUCAAAUUGACUCAUGUCAUUCAAUAUGUCGUGUGGCUCCAACUCUAGAAUCACUAGGCUUCUCAACCCAUCAAGGACUAGUACAAUACUACCUGUAAGAAUAAUUUUAGAAAAAUAUAAGUUGAUAGCUUAGUGAGUAGAAGAGUUCAAAAAUAAUUAUACUUUCUCCUUUAAACAUUUUACCAAAUAUCAAGUUCAUAUCGUUUAAUAUUCACAUGAUAAACUCAUACAAUGAUAGCAAAAAAGUAAGACAUUCUUAUAACACUGUAAAUAUCAUCUCAUAAUCAUGAUAUAGUCUUCAGCUGAUAUCUAUACCAUCAUCUCAUUACAUCACAUGUGAUCCACCAAAAAUAUACCAUUUUACUAAAAUCUGAAAUUCCGCCCCUCAGGCCAAACACUUUUGUCACGGGCCUCUAGCCCUCUCCUGAAUGAAAGUGGGUCUCAUUAACUCUGGUAAUCAAUUUUAGAACAUGGUCAAGGCCCCUCAGUGAAUUAUAUGUACACGGUCACGACCCCUCAUCCCUAGUCAACCCCUUAGUGUAGUAUAGAAUACGGCCAAGGUGUCUUAGUGAAUUAGAAAAAAAUAUAUAAUCAUGGGUACUUUUCAGGUCGAUCUUAAUAUUACAUGUCUCACAUACCAAACACAAAUGUGUCAUAAAUGAUCUUUGAGAUUCCAAAUGUAUCAUAGUAAAAGAAAUUUUCAUAAUAAUCAUAUAAUCGCACACAUAAUUGCAUAUAAUUGCACGUACUUUGAUAAUAUACUUAAUUUAUAAAUACUUUAAAAAUAUUCAUAUUUUUUCACUCACAGAUCUAUGGACAGAAAUCUGGCUAAAUUGACGAAUCUUUCCAAACUUUCACAUCACUACCUGAAAUAACGGUAUAAUUACUCAAAUUAAAACUUGACAAUUAAAUUAAUACAUUCCACCACUUAACCCCUCAACUUCUAUAUUUACUCUUACAUCUCCAAUUCCCCAACUUUCAUUCUGUUUAUUAUUCAUCAACUAAACACCAUGCAUUAUCAAAUCCGUUAAAUUACUCAUACUUCCUUAAAAUCAAGAACUUAUACAUAUACAAGCCCUAUACAUAAUUUAUUUCAAUACAUAAACCUCAAUACUUGUCAUAUAACUUCAUUCAAGCCUUUAAAAAUAUGAAAAUAAGAGUUUUGACAAAAAAGUACUAAAAUGCCAUAAUAUUGAAAUCUGGCAGCAAAACCUUUGACAGAAUUAGCACUAUUCUGGGCAGAUUUUCAGAGGAACACCUAUGUGAGAUUUUGUCCAAAAAUUGCUUAUAAUAAUUACUUAAAAGGGAGAAAUCAACCUCAAUUCCUUAAUUUAAAUGCUUGACAUCAUAUAACCCCAAGAAAAUCAUUGAAUAAAUAUCUAUUUCAUAAACCCUAAAGAUUUCAUUAAAAUAUUUUCACUCACCUAUUGAAUACAAAGAGGAAUUGAGAAUACAAACUUGAAAAAUGGGCGGCUGCCUCUUCUUUCCUUUUUUUUCCCCUUUCUCCGUCUCUAGUCGUUCUCCCCUAUUCUUUGCGUAUUUUGG
rnacentral:lncRNA from 1 species